ACAAUCCUUAUCUUGGGGUUGCGUGGCUGUUCAAUAAAUGUGUGGUGAGAACAGCACUGCUAACACCAUUACAACACGUGUGCAUCACCUAAGCAUCUUUGUUUAGGCUAUGGUGCAAUUUUUGGUACC